GUGAAGAGUUGGAAUUAGAGGACACAAAAAUUGGUGCACCUCCAAUUCUCUUUGUUCUUAAUAUCCUUUUCACAAGUAUUUUCCACUUGAUUUCGUCCUUCUUGCUUUGUUUCCUGAUCUUCUCCUUGAGGUUCCUGAAUUGGAAGGUACCUGCACAAAGGAACUCGGCACGAAUUUGAAUCAGUGCAGAGACGGGAAUGUAACUCCAGUAGCUGCCACAUUCUUUUGCAAUGAAUACAGCCGCCAGGAACUCUCAACUUGCAACUAGCAAAAUGGCGAACAAGCAAUUCUAACCCUUUGCAACAGUCUCCAUAAUCGCAGGGUGUUUGGUGUUCUUUCAAAUCCUUAUCAUGUGGUCCAAUUGUCCUGCAACCAUCUCUGAAUAUGUGAACAAGAGCCUCCAUUGCUUCACAUAAUUGAAGGUCAUUACGAUCAUACGGUGAGUGAUCAGCGUUAGUCGAGGCGCAUCACACAGUAACGAAAGCUGGAAGGCAUCAACUACAUUUUCUAUAGUAAGCAAGCCAUGCUCAAGUUGCUGUUCACAAGCUCGCUUCAGCUGAGGAACAACAUAUGUGUGUGACAUCACCAACAAUGGCAACACAAAUUCCUUCAUUUCUUCUUUCUCAUAACUACAGAUCAAAACCAAUAACAAUUAGCACAUCCCGGCAUGAAUGCAUGAUGUAACCACAUGAUCUCAGUGACACUGACAACAAGUUCAAAGUGUGAAGGUAACUAGUAAUUGCCAAGGACUUACUGGCUCACAAAACUGAAUUCGACCAAAAGUCUUCCAAGGCAAAAGAGAAGUUACCUGGAAGAGUACAAGAAUCGAAUGAAAGCCCGAACUGCAUCUUGUGGAACACCAUGGAUAUGGAUUGAAAUUGGUCUUCUGUGACCAAAUCCUUUUGCUUGUUUCAACAUGCCUCUUAGUACAGGAGAAGCCAUGCCCUGUUAGAAAAAAUGAUCCAGUGGAGGGAUUUGAGUCAAUAAAUUUGUUCAAGACACCAUGUCCAAAUUCCUAAAUAGUUGCUAUUAGCUUUA